GGGGAGUACUUCAAACUUGAACUCAGGUAAUUUUAUCUCUGCAUUGCUAAAAUGUUGAACUGACGCUGUUGUAACGUGCAGUGUAAGAAAAACGCACAGGGCUUACGUGAAAUUACUAACAAAAGAAUUAAUAAACACUAUGGAUUUAUAGAUUUAUAUCGCGAGCAAUGUUGAUGUCUGGCCACUGAUCAUAUAUACACCACAUAUAGUAAUUUAUAGAUCAAUGUGUCUGUCCAAUGUGUUUUUUUAUUAAGUUAUCAAGUUCAAUUACAAACCUUUACGCCACAUUUCAACAACUGAACACAUAUAAUUAGUGUUGAUACUGCCAAAUAGAAAGAAAAAAGAUGGAAAAAAAUAACAAAUAACAAUAAUCACACCAUAAGAUAAAACGGAAUAAAUAACGGAAAGAAAAAUAAAGAUGUCUUAGGGUCUUAUUCUAACAACAAAAACAAGUUCAAAGCAUACAAGAGUUUCUGGGCGUUCCUGUCAAUCCUGUAAUGAAGAGACUUUGCAAAUAUCUUUAGUUCAUUCUUCCAUCCGCUGAAGUGAGGUUUAACCUUUAAAAACGUACUUAUCUUACUUAUCUACUUAUCUAUGAAUCUAGUAUUUGCACAAAGUAAUUAAGUUAUUUAUCAAAAAGUCUAGGAUCUUUUCCUUCAACAAUACUCCAACCUUAACUGAGAUCACAGUCAAAGGGUGUAUUGAUAUCUGUUUGAAAUGAAGCCAAUUUUGAAAUUCCAGCCAAAAAGUCUGUACAGAUUCACAUUUCAAAAACAUAUGAUCUACAGUUUCAAUAUCUUUCUCACAGAACCCGCAUGAAUUGUUCUCCCAAUUAAAUCUUUCUUGUAGGAAGUGAUUAGAUGGAUAAAUGUCCUUUAGAAUUUUAAAUGUUACUUCUUUGGCUUUAGGAAGAACUGGAUAAGUAAAAUAAAGCUUCCUUAUUUUCUUUGCCUCUUCUUCAAUAAAUUCUUGAAGAACAUACUUUCUUUUCAGUUGACUGGGGAAGUAAAGUUUGGAUAAUACAUUUCUGAUAAACUUAUUUGUUAAUUGUUUGCUCUUUAAAUUUUUACCUUUAGUACAUGACAGAUAGCAUAGAUGUAACUUAGUUUUUGGUGGCUUGUGGUAAAAUAACGUAGUGAAUAAUGAAAGGACACGAUCGUUUUGUAUGUGUAUUCCUUUAGCAUUUGUUGUAUAAUUUUAAAAAGGUCAUAUGAGGAGGUUGUUUUCAUAUUUAAUUUUUCAUUCACCUCCAGGGAUAGGAUUGGCAUAGAAGAUGCAACACUCUUUACAUUUUAAAUAUCAAAUGUAUAUCAAGUGUUAUCCAUCCUCAUAACACCUCCACAAAUAGAGACUGGAACUUCUGAGCACCAUCACCUUGUCUGCUUUGGGACUGUCAUAGCCCAGCAAUCAGAUACAUCAGAACAACAAAGCACAACUGUGGUGGCCCAGGCACCUUCAGCAACAAGUAAAUUGCUUUAACAUUAAUGAUAAUUAAAUGUCAGUAUUGUAAUUAAACUUGACCCAUCUGACGUAAUUGUUCAUGCCAGAGAUUUAACAACACUGUCAGUCAGGAGCAUAUUUAACAGGAGCCACAUUCAACUGGCUUGAUGGUGACUUCAGUAAGUGCUGUCAACCCUCUAG